rnacentral:rRNA from 1 species
CAUAGGUUAAUGAGGCGAACCGGGGGAACUGAAACAUCUAAGUACCCCGAGGAAAAGAAAUCAACCGAGAUUCCCCCAGUAGCGGCGAGCGAACGGGGAGCAGCCCAGAGCCUGAAUCAGUGUGUGUGUUAGUGGAAGCGUCUGGAAAGGCGCGCGAUACAGGGUGACAGCCCCGUACACAAAAAUGCACAUACUGUGAGCUCGAUGAGUAGGGCGGGACACGUGGUAUCCUGUCUGAAUAUGGGGGGACCAUCCUCCAAGGCUAAAUACUCCUGACUGACCGAUAGUGAACCAGUACCGUGAGGGAAAGGCGAAAAGAACCCCGGCGAGGGGAGUGAAAAAGAACCUGAAACCGUGUACGUACAAGCAGUGGGAGCACGCUUAGGCGUGUGACUGCGUACCUUUUGUAUAAUGGGUCAGCGACUUAUAUUCUGUAGCAAGGUUAACCGAAUAGGGGAGCCGAAGGGAAACCGAGUCUUAACUGGGCGUUAAGUUGCAGGGUAUAGACCCGAAACCCGGUGAUCUAGCCAUGGGCAGGUUGAAGGUUGGGUAACACUAACUGGAGGACCGAACCGACUAAUGUUGAAAAAUUAGCGGAUGACUUGUGGCUGGGGGUGAAAGGCCAAUCAAACCGGGAGAUAGCUGGUUCUCCCCGAAAGCUAUUUAGGUAGCGCCUCGUGAAUUCAUCUCCGGGGGUAGAGCACUGUUUCGGCAAGGGGGUCAUCCCGACUUACCAACCCGAUGCAAACUGCGAAUACCGGAGAAUGUUAUCACGGGAGACACACGGCGGGUGCUAACGUCCGUCGUGAAGAGGGAAACAACCCAGACCGCCAGCUAAGGUCCCAAAGUCAUGGUUAAGUGGGAAACGAUGUGGGAAGGCCCAGACAGCCAGGAUGUUGGCUUAGAAGCAGCCAUCAUUUAAAGAAAGCGUAAUAGCUCACUGGUCGAGUCGGCCUGCGCGGAAGAUGUAACGGGGCUAAACCAUGCACCGAAGCUGCGGCAGCGACGCUGAUGCGUUGUUGGGUAGGGGAGCGUUCUGUAAGCCUGUGAAGGUGUGCUGUGAGGCAUGCUGGAGGUAUCAGAAGUGCGAAUGCUGACAUAAGUAACGAUAAAGCGGGUGAAAAGCCCGCUCGCCGGAAGACCAAGGGUUCCUGUCCAACGUUAAUCGGGGCAGGGUGAGUCGACCCCUAAGGCGAGGCCGAAAGGCGUAGUCGAUGGGAAACAGGUUAAUAUUCCUGUACUUGGUGUUACUGCGAAGGGGGGACGGAGAAGGCUAUGUUGGCCGGGCGACGGUUGUCCCGGUUUAAGCGUGUAGGCUGGUUUUCCAGGCAAAUCCGGAAAACUAAGGCUGAGGCGUGAUGACGAGGCACUACGGUGCUGAAGCAACAAAUGCCCUGCUUCCAGGAAAAGCCUCUAAGCAUCAGGUAACAUCAAAUCGUACCCCAAACCGACACAGGUGGUCAGGUAGAGAAUACCAAGGCGCUUGAGAGAACUCGGGUGAAGGAACUAGGCAAAAUGGUGCCGUAACUUCGGGAGAAGGCACGCUGAUAUGUAGGUGAAGUCCCUCGCGGAUGGAGCUGAAAUCAGUCGAAGAUACCAGCUGGCUGCAACUGUUUAUUAAAAACACAGCACUGUGCAAACACGAAAGUGGACGUAUACGGUGUGACGCCUGCCCGGUGCCGGAAGGUUAAUUGAUGGGGUCAGCGCAAGCGAAGCUCUUGAUCGAAGCCCCGGUAAACGGCGGCCGUAACUAUAACGGUCCUAAGGUAGCGAAAUUCCUUGUCGGGUAAGUUCCGACCUGCACGAAUGGCGUAAUGAUGGCCAGGCUGUCUCCACCCGAGACUCAGUGAAAUUGAACUCGCUGUGAAGAUGCAGUGUACCCGCGGCAAGACGGAAAGACCCCGUGAACCUUUACUAUAGCUUGACACUGAACAUUGAGCCUUGAUGUGUAGGAUAGGUGGGAGGCUUUGAAGUGUGGACGCCAGUCUGCAUGGAGCCGACCUUGAAAUACCACCCUUUAAUGUUUGAUGUUCUAACGUUGACCCGUGAUCCGGGUUGCGGACAGUGUCUGGUGGGUAGUUUGACUGGGGCGGUCUCCUCCUAAAGAGUAACGGAGGAGCACGAAGGUUGGCUAAUCCUGGUCGGACAUCAGGAGGUUAGUGCAAUGGCAUAAGCCAGCUUGACUGCGAGCGUGACGGCGCGAGCAGGUGCGAAAGCAGGUCAUAGUGAUCCGGUGGUUCUGAAUGGAAGGGCCAUCGCUCAACGGAUAAAAGGUACUCCGGGGAUAACAGGCUGAUACCGCCCAAGAGUUCAUAUCGACGGCGGUGUUUGGCACCUCGAUGUCGGCUCAUCACAUCCUGGGGCUGAAGUAGGUCCCAAGGGUAUGGCUGUUCGCCAUUUAAAGUGGUACGCGAGCUGGGUUUAGAACGUCGUGAGACAGUUCGGUCCCUAUCUGCCGUGGGCGCUGGAGAACUGAGGGGGGCUGCUCCUAGUACGAGAGGACCGGAGUGGACGCAUCACUGGUGUUCGGGUUGUCAUGCCAAUGGCACUGCCCGGUAGCUAAAUGCGGAAGAGAUAAGUGCUGAAAGCAUCUAAGCACGAAACUUGCCCCGAGAUGAGUUCUCCCUGACUCCUUGAGAGUCCUGAAGGAACGUUGAAGACGACGACGUUGAUAGGCCGGGUGUGUAAG